GUUGAACGGGAAGCAAAGAUGUCAGAACGGAAAGUUUUAAACAAAUACUACCCACCUGACUUUGACUCAUCGAAGAUCCCAAAACUUAAGCUACCCAACGACCGGCAAUAUGUGGUCCGGCUGAUGGCCCCCUUCAACAUGAGGUGUAAGACAUGUGGAGAAUACAUCUACAAGGGGAAGAAGUUCAAUGCACGGAAGGAAACAGUUCAGAACGAGACAUACCUGGGCCUGCGAAUCUUCCGAUUCUACAUCAAGUGCACGCGCUGCUUGGCUGAGAUCACCUUCAAGACAGACCCAGAGAACACAGACUACACCAUGGAGCACGGGGCCACGCGCAACUUCCAGGCUGAGAAGCUUCUGAAGGAGGAGGAGAAGCGCCUGCAGAAGGAGCGAGAGGACGAAGAACUGAACAACCCCAUUAAGGUUCUAGAGAACCGUACAAAGAUCUCUAAGCUAGAGAUGGAAGUGUUGGAAAACCUGCAAGAACUAAAAGACCUGAACGAGCGGCAGGCACACGUGGACUUCGAGGCCAUGUUGCUGCAACACCGCCUGUCUCAGGAACAGUGGCAACAGCAGCAGGAGGAGGAGGACAAGCGUGAGACCGCGGCCUUGCUGGAGGAGGCUUGCCAUCGAAGGCUUCCAGAGUCCUCUGACUCAGAGGAUGAGGCUCCACCUUCCCGACCACAGGCAGCUGCAAGACCCAACCCCACAGCCAUCCUCGACAAGGUACCAAAGACCAAGAGGAAGGCAGAGGCCCUGUGCAGCAAAUCACAGUUGGCAGGCUUGGUUGUACCAAAGAAGAUGAAGACAAAGGCCAACGGGGGCUCAGAGCAGGUCCGGGGGUCUGAGAGCAGGAAGGUGGCCAACCCUACACCCCAGACACCUGAUACUUCCUCCCUGAGCCAGCUGGGUGCAUAUGGGGACAUUGAGGACAGUGACAGCUGAGCAACAGUGAUGCCCACUGUGUCAUCAUAGAUCCAAGAAAUGAGAUGGGAUCAAGCAAACACCUUCAGCAAAGGCCUUGGGACCAUUUCUGCCAUGGGUCCUGGCAGGGUGUAGAGAAGCGAUGUCCCCAGGCACCCAGGACAGACAGACUGGUCCACUCCUUCAGUCCUUGACUUGUAUGGAGCCUGUUGGCCUGUCCCUUCCUGCCACAGAUCUGAACACUGUCUGACAUGGGACAGGGAGCAGGGACCCUGGACAUCAUCUCCCAACCAUACUCAAGGCCUAAGGCUUCACCCCCAUGCAACACAGUAGUACUGUAAAAAUCAAGAAAGAAUAGAAAAAUCA